AGAAAGGCAAACUGAGAUACAACUUGCUGCUUUUUGUAGUCACAUGGUGACAACAUAUAGAAAGUCAUAUCUGCAACUUGAUGGGAGACAGGUCCUUUCAACCAAAAGACAGGUUUUCUCUGUAUAGCCCUGGCCAUCCUAGAACUCACACAGUAGACCAGGACCUUGAACUCAGGGUUCCGCCUAACUCUCUCCCCAUUGCUGAGAUUAAAGGAAUGCACCACCAACCACCAUUACCACCACUGCUGGGCUUGUGAGGUGA